CUGUCGUUUUUCCAUCCCUUUCUCCUCCCCCACCCCUCCCUCCCUCCCUAUUUCUGUUCCCUUCCGUUUUGCAAAAGAUCUGUCUCCCUGUUUCUAUUAUCUACCUUUAUCCCGCUCUUUAUUUGAUUCCACCGUGAUAAGAGCACAUGCUCUGUAUAACCUUAAUCCUCUUAGAUGUACUGAGACUCCUGUACCCGGAUGCUCGCAUGGCCCAGAGGCUGCGAGUCCCGCUAUCUGCCGACCUGCUCUGCUCUUCCUCUGGCCAUGGUGGAAGGCCAGCGCCUUGUCCACGUUCCCCACCUCUUCACUGACUUCCUAUCUACUUACCCCAGCAGGUGGGGCCAAGCCUGCUCCUCCACCAGUUGCCAAGUGUUCCAGGAUGCUGCACCAGAGCCAACACAGGGGCGGUCAGCGUGGAGUUGAAGAGGGAGUGGGUCCCUGGCCACCACUGCACCAACACAGGCCCUGGAUACUGGGGCAAGGCCUCUGCGGCCUACAGGACAGAACUCAGCCCAGCACCUGGGCAUUAGCAGAUGGCCUCGGGGCUGGAGAGCACAAACCUGUGUUGUUGAAGCCGUCCAGCUGUGUUGAUUUGUGAGGGCAGCAACCAGAAACCAACACACGUGAUUAAACACAGUUCCAUUAGAACCCAGCAAUUCUGCAGUGAGGCCCUGGCUCGGAAGCGGUCUCUGGAUUACGAAGAAGACGCAGUGAGAACACGAGUGACAGUGUGGGGAUGGAGCGGCUGUCUUGGGUGUAACUGAAAGGCAACAAGGUCUCUGACCCACAGAACACAGGGCCACCUGGCAGGUGUGUGCACCUGAGAAGCCACCUGCAUGGGGGGAGGUGUCAAAAGACACAGAGUACUUCCUGAG
rnacentral:lncRNA from 1 species